rnacentral:rRNA from 1 species
GACGAACGCUGGCGGCGUGCUUAACACAUGCAAGUCGAACGGAAAGGCCCUGCUUUUGUGGGGUGCUCGAGUGGCGAACGGGUGUGUAACACGUGAGUAACCUGCCCUUGACUUUGGGAUAACUUCCGGAAACUGGGGCUAAUACCGGAUAUGCGCCCCUGCUGCAUGGUGGGGGUUGGAGAGUUUCGGUGGUUGGGGAUGGACUCGCGGCUUAUCAGCUUGUUGGUGGGGUAGUGGCUUACCAAGGCUUUGACGGGUAGCCGGCCUGAGAGGGUGACCGGCCACAUUGGGACUGAGAUACGGCCCAGACUCCUACGGGAGGCAGCAGUGGGGAAUAUUGCACAAUGGGCGGAAGCCUGAUGCAGCAACGCCGCGUGCGGGAUGACGGCCUUCGGGUUGUAAACCGCUUUCGCCUGGGACGAAGCGUGAGUGACGGUAAUGGGUAAAGAAGCACCGGCUAACUACGUG